UUGACCUCGGAUCAGGUAGGAAUACCCGCUGAACUUAAGCAUAUCAAUAAGCGGAGGAAAAGAAACCAACAGGGAUUGCCCUAGUAACGGCGAGUGAAGCGGCAACAGCUCAAAUUUGAAAUCUGGCUCUCGGGCCCGAGUUGUAAUUUGUAGAGGAUGCUUUUGGCAAGGUGCCUUCCGAGUUCCCUGGAACGGGACGCCAUAGAGGGUGAGAGCCCCGUCUGGUUGGACACCGAGCCUCUGUAAAGCUCCUUCGACGAGUCGAGUAGUUUGGGAAUGCUGCUCUAAAUGGGAGGUAUAUGUCUUCUAAAGCUAAAUACUGGCCAGAGACCGAUAGCGCACAAGUAGAGUGAUCGAAAGAUGAAAAGCACUUUGAAAAGAGAGUUAAAAAGCACGUGAAAUUGUUGAAAGGGAAGCGCUCAUGACCAGACUUGGGCUUGGUUGAUCAUCCGGCGUUCUCGCCGGUGCACUCUUCCAGUUCAGGCCAGCAUCAGUUUGCCCCGGGGGAUAAAAGCUUCGGGAAUGUGGCUCCUUCGGGAGUGUUAUAGCCCGUUGCAUAAUACCCUGAGGCAGACUGAGGACCGCGCUUCGUGCAAGGAUGCUGGCGUAAUGGUCAUCAGCGACCCG
rnacentral:rRNA from 1 species